CCUUAGGCAAAUCCGGGACCCUUUAUGCCGAGCACCGAGACGAGCCCUAUUGGGCGAAGUGACUGACACCACGCUUCCAGGAAAAGCCACUAAGCUUCAGCUAUAGAAGAACCGUACCGCAAACCGACACUGGUAGGCAGGGUGAGAAUCCCAAGGCGCUUGAGAGAACUCGGGUGAAGGAACUAGGCAAAAUGGCACCGUAACUUCGGGAGAAGGUGCGCCCUUUAGCGUGGUCACAUGCGUGACUGAGCGUUGAAGGGUCGCAGUAACCUGGCCGCUGCGACUGUUUAUCAAAAACACAGCACUCUGCAAACACGAAAGUGGACGUAUAGGGUGUGACGCCUGCCCGGUGCUGGAAGGUUAAUUGAUGGGGUCAGCCGCAAGGCGAAGCUCUUGAUCGAAGCCCCAGUAAACGGCGGCCGUAACAAUAACGGUCCUAAGGUAGCGAAAUUCCUUGUCGGGUAAGUUCCGACCUGCACGAAUGGCGUAACGACAGCGGCGCUGUCUCCACCCGAGACUCAGUGAAAUUGAAUUCGCUGUGAAGAUGCAGCGUUCCCGCGGCAAGACGGAAAGACCCCGUGAACCUUUACUAUAGCUUUACAUUGAACGUUGAGUUCUUCUGUGUAGGAUAGGUGGGAGGCUUUGAAGUGCAGGCGCUAGCUUGCAUGGAGCCAACCUUGAAAUACCACCCUGAAGUGCUUGACGUUCUAACCUCGACCCGUCAUCCGGGUCAGGGACCAUGUAUGGUGGGUAGUUUGACUGGGGCGGUCUCCUCCCAAAGAGUAACGGAGGAGCACGAAGGUACGCUCAGCGCGGUCGGACAUCGCGCACUGUGUGCAAUGGCAUAAGCGUGCUUGACUGCGAGAUCGACGGAUCAAGCAGGUACGAAAGUAGGUCAUAGUGAUCCGGUGGUUCUGUAUGGAAGGGCCAUCGCUCAACGGAUAAAAGGUACUCCGGGGAUAACAGGCUGAUACCGCCCAAGAGUUCAUAUCGACGGCGGUGUUUGGCACCUCGAUGUCGGCUCAUCACAUCCUGGGGCUGUAGCCGGUCCCAAGGGUAUGGCUGUUCGCCAUUUAAAGUGGUACGCGAGCUGGGUUCAGAACGUCGUGAGACAGUUCGGUCCCUAUCUGUCGUGGGCGUUGGAGAUUUGAGGGGGGCUGCUCCUAGUACGAGAGGACCGGAGUGGACGUUCCGCUGGUGUUCGGGUUGUCAUGCCCAUGGCAUUGCCCGGUAGCUAUGAACGGAAGUGAUAACCGCUGAAAGCAUCUAAGCGGGAAGCACGCCCCAAGAUGAGAUCUCCCGAGAGCUUGACUCUCCUUAAGGCACCAUCAAGACCAGGUGGUUGAUAGGUCAGGUGUGGAAGUGCAGCAAUGCAUGGAGCUAACUGAUACUAAUGAGCCGUGAGGCUUGAUCAA
rnacentral:rRNA from 1 species